UACGUAGGCGGAAUAUUAAGUCAGUGGUGAAAUCCUGCGGCUCAACCGUAGAACUGCCAUUGAUACUGGUUUUCUUGAAUUUAGUUGAGGUAGGCGGAAUGUGUAAUGUAGCGGUGAAAUGCUUAGAUAUUACACAGAACACCGAUUGCGAAGGCAGCUUACUAAACUAUGAUUGACGCUGAGGUACGAAAGCGUGGGGAGCAAACAGGAUUAGAUACCCUGGUAGUCC
rnacentral:rRNA from 1 species